rnacentral:piRNA from 1 species
UGUUGACAACCCCUGAAGAGCCUCAGU